UCAGCCGAGGCCGCCAUUGUUGUUUUUGUUUUCGUUUUAGUUGUUUAGUUCUGUGUUUCUGCUGCAGUUCGAGUUCUUUACUUUAUCUCUUCUGCUUUUUAUUCUGUGUAGUCUCUGCCCUCUUCGAGAUCAAUAUUUCAAUCGUUGUUUCCAAAACUUAGCUGUUAAUUAUUCAGUUUUUUAGUUAGUUUUAAAAGUUUAUUUUACAGUUGUAACUUAUUUAAGUUCAAGAAUCAAGAAGUUUAUUGGCCAUCGGUGUUACCGUUGGUCCUAGGCCUACUUUUAAGAUUUUCGCUAGAUCAACCUAACUUAUUUAUGUUUUCAAUUCAUCAUCAAUUUUCUACAACCCUCAAAGAUCGACUUCUUCCAAAGGAUUGGGGGCGCAACAGUGGUGGACUCUGGCUGUCGAGCCCUCAUCAGAUCGCGGACAAACGAAGUAGAUGUUAGCUUCAGUUGGGAGGGAAGGAAGGGAAAGAGGACCCUCCACAGCCUCAACUUCAUAAAACACUGGAGAGUGUUGUUGCAGCGUCUCACGGAGACAAUGUCACAUACAAGGCAUUUGAAACCAAGGUUAAUGAAUGGUUCCGGCAGGCUCGAAGAUUAAAUUUUCAAAUGUAAAGCUGUACUUGAUUUAUUAAGAUUACAUUUUUAAUUGUAAA